AGUUGAAGAGGAUCAGAACUGGCUUUCAGCAGACUGACAUUUCAAUGGAUGGCUGCACUUUCUCAAAUGGGAAUGGUGGUAAUAUGGCUGUUAUCAACAGAAAGAGUUAAUCAGAUGUUGAUAUGGUGGCAUGCAUCUUUGCCCUACAUGUGGGAAACAGUGACUUCACCAUGCAUUUUACUGAUAAGUAGGGGGAUGUGUUCAAGUACAGGCUUCUCACUCUGAGCAGGUCAAAUAGAUAAGAGCCACAUAUGGAGUUUAAACUACCAUACCGGAUUUAAAGGAAAUGUUACUGUCUUGAAGGGCCCUAGUGUAAUAUGGAGCCAUGAAGGUGUUGUCUUUUACAUUUCUCUACAAGCAGGUGAAGUUAGACAAAUGCCUAUCAAGCUUGCUCUGAACUUUAUUGGUGAGGAUCCCCUCAACAAAAGGAAAAUAUUCAUACUAGAUUCCCAAACACUAUCCAAAGAAUGCCUGAAUGAUCAAUUGGACUUUCCAGGGAGGAGCAAAACCCUGGGGUAUUUUGUAGAGGAAGGACAAGUAUUAAACGGUGCUCUGAUCUUACCUCAUGCCUACAGUUCCAUCACACCGUGUAGAUUUGUGAUCUCAGCUGAAGAGGUGAACAGUGUGUCAAAAUCAACUGGUGGCAGCGACCAGUAAAAAGCAGUUGCUGUAUUUGAAAGGUAUGCCAGGUUUCCUUUUGAAGAACCUCACCACAUUCAGAUGGUCAACACUGGACGGAAUGGAUGUCUGUUUGCCAUCUCUUUCAACCAUGUGCAGUCUGUGCAGUAUGGAAAGACACUUUUCAGGUAGCAUCAUGCUGGUUAGGUGUGAGCUCCCUCCGUGAGGAUGAUGCUGUGAACUGUGGAACAGAUCAGAUACUGCUGGUCUUCGGAAGCCAGAGUCCUACUGUGGGUCCAGUGGAUCAAUACCUCAUCACAGAUCUCUGCUUGACAACCUAUUCUGAGAGACGCUGUACUUUUCUGCUCUUCUUUACCAGUCUUAUAACACCCUACUUAUAACCCAGUUCUGAUGUGUGAAGAUUGUUGUAUGUUUCAGCAUGGACAUGAGAGUGGUGAAGGACGGACCAUAUCUGACACAGCUCAAGAGAACUACCUCCUAACUGUCAAAACUCUACAGGACAUACUACAGCGGAGAGUGUGACUUUAUCCAUCCUGACAGAGGCAGGCCAGUGCCAGGCGCUUGCGGUCAUUCAGACCCACAGCCAAGUGUCCCCCCCCCCACACACAAAGAUCCCAUCUCACUGCUCUCACCCAGUGCCUACGGCCAAGAUAAGCAGGCGAGAUGGUGCCAGUGGAGCCUGUGACACAGACACACACAGACUGGCAGUGACCGCUGUGACUGACCUGACCCCACUGCUGACCUCUGGCAGUGUCAAAUGUGCUGUCAUGCUCCAUUACGUCCACAGACAGGGAUCUUCUGGCUCCCCGACCGCCCUAGUUGAAGUCGCCCAGUACGAAGAUUGUCUCUGCUCCUUGGCGAGGAGGAGGGGGAGACUGAGAAGGAGGGGAGGAAGUGCAGCGGAAUGAGAAAGAUGGAGCCCCUUGAUCCAGGCUCUGCAUAGCGACUCAAGAGGUGCAGGGAGGUGUGGCCGUGGGACAGGGAGAGGAGUAGGAGGAGGUUUAGCCCCUGGUGGACGUGGAACGCUAUCGCAGGCUGACCCAGAUACUGGCCCAGGUACAGUUGGAGGGAGAUAUAGCCGCCCUCAUAGAGUCACAGUCACUCAUUCAGCUCUGCACUGCAUUGACAUGUAUAGUAGUUCCUUUUAUUUAUAUGCUUUCAUAAGUACCAAUGGAUUGUACGGUUACGUUCAUUUGCUUUCUAAUAUUCUGUAAGUGCCCAUUAUUCAAUGAAAUGUUGAGUUUCAGUCCAGGUGAUGUCGCUCUUAUCUCAUUUUGAACUGAGUGCUACUCAAUGCAUUGGUAAGGAGAAGUUUCAAACCAGAGAUCGAUAUGGUUCACCGUGUAUGCUACUGUAGUUGGUAGGUUUACACAUCUGUUACUGUAAACCUGUCUACCAAUAGUGUGGGUGAAUGCGUGUCCCCUUUGGACAACGUCCUGCUCUUCACACCUCAUCUCUGUGUGAUCGCUACUCCUCUCUCCCACUCUUCUCCCCUCAGACCGGCAGCCUGUGAAACACUCUUUAAUGUGUGCUGCUGUGCAUUGCACACUGGGAAAGGCCGGCUUCUUACUCUGUUCUGAAGUGGGAAAUGCUGUGUGUGUUCAGAAUGAAAUGUUAGGAGGUAACUGGAUGGCAUAAAGGAGGUAACUGGAAGGUCUAAAUCUCCUGGAUUUGGCUUAAAAACCUUUUAGUAGCAAUUCUGCCCUUCAUGGUUCAGUUCUGUUCUCUGUAACAUGCUAUAAAAUAAACCCAUCUUGGAUGAUGUCUCGUGAUGACCACAUGUAGUACAGUUACUAUUGUGUCCUUCCUCCAAGGGAAUCAACAGCAGCCCUCUCAUGAGUCAUCAUCCCAAGCUGCUAGAUCAGUUAUUUCUGACUAAAGGUGUCUGUUAUUUACAGAAUACUUCAAUAAAAACGAUUCAGC